rnacentral:rRNA from 1 species
ACGCUCGACACCUACGGAGGCAGCAGUGGGGAAUAUUGCACAAUGGGGGAAACCCUGAUGCAGCGACGCCGCGUGAAGGAAGAAGUAUCUCGGUAUGUAAACUUCUAUCAGCAGGGAAGAAAGUGACGGUACCUGACUAAGAAGCCCCGGCUAACUACGUGCCNGCAGCCGCGGUAAUCUGAGCGGGCUGGCAAGGC